GAUCAUUUGUGAUGGUUUGGUCUUCAGAGGUCUGGUCAGCAGCCUGGUUUCCCUGAUAUUCUGCCAUGGAGUCGAGUGCAGCACAAGUGCCCCGCGUGCACUUGAUGUCAGAUGAAAGGGGAGAGUCUGAAGAGAAAUGUCAGAGGGAACCCACAUGCUGCACAAUGGAAUAUGAUAUGAUUUGUGAUGUAAAUUACCAUUUUAGAUGUUACAACAUCCAUCAGUUCAACUCAGAUUUUCCAUGGAAUAGAUGAAAAUUUACUGAACAUGAAUUCUCAGGCCAUCCAAGAUGUAGAUGAGUUUGUUUCUUCAUCAGAACAGAUUUGGAGAAAUGUAUUAUAUCCCUUUACUUGUCUACGGAUCAUAUACUCACCUCAGGCCAU